rnacentral:lncRNA from 1 species
GAACAAUAAACCGGCCUUUAUACAUAGACAUAUAUAGAAUUCAGCUACAAAACUGUUAAUAGUACCAAACACUUGAUGCUAUCAAAUUUUUUAUCAUUAGAUCUAUCUCUUUAAUCAUUUUCACUUCUUAGAUCAUUGUACUCCACUAAUCACCUACUAAACUCUAGAAAAUCACUAUCAUCCUAACCACACAUUCUUUCAUCUAAAGGUCGAAAAUAUAAUAGCACAAAUGACUUGAUGCUUUUAAUAGUAUUCUAGUCAAUAUAUAUAUAUAUAUAU